rnacentral:piRNA from 1 species
UUGGAGGUUUAUGCCAGCAGUGACCUGGAAUC